UUUCUUUCUAGAGCCUCCUUUCCUCAAGGAACUCCAAGUUCCUGGCAGAGCCUAGCUCUUUGGUUUCUGCAACCGAGAUUGAUUAGAUUACUGUCACGUGUGUGUCUCCUGAUGUCAUCACAGGCUGGUCAGUUUCCGCUUGUUCCACUUCUCUGUGAGCUCACCAUAAUUCAGAAUUCUUCAUCUCCUGCCGAUAGAGCUCAGAAUCCCAUGUUGUGGAGUCAUCCUGAUGCGGUCCUAUAAGGAUUCUUGAUGUGCAGAGCAAAUUAUACAUUCAUUUCUGGGAUCAGGAAUUCAAUCCAGAGAAACUCAAAUGAUGAAAGGAUAAGCUAAUUCCACUUUCAAGAUGGUUUCAGUGCCCUGACUACCUUCCUGCUCUCAAGAGGAGCACAUAGUUCUGCGCACAUGCCAAACGUUCCACCCCCUGGGACUUUUGGUCCAAACUGAGAGGCCAGACAUCAGCGCACAAAAGAAAUAGUCAUGGAGUAAAGAAUGCAAUCAUCAAGAGUCAAGGAGUUCAGAAAAAUGGCUUCUCAUCGGCUGUCAGAGGAAAGAGUGAGAUUUAAAGCUCAAUUCUCAAAACUCUUUGGGCUUUGAUGGUAUUUUGGGAAGUCUUUAUCUCAAUUGUACCAAGAUUGAAGGGAAAGGGUUUAUACACAGCACAGCAGGUUACUGGAGAGGUUCAGAAAUUGUAUCAGGAACUGCAGAGCUGGGAGCAAUCACUCUGGAAGGAAAUGGAUAGAGACUCGGGGAGGGUGGGGGAAGCUAUGGUGGAGGUGAGAGUAGCAGUGUAGGGUGCAGCCAGGAAAUGUGUGAGCUUGGUUUAGAGAUCUGAAGCUCACUAGACUUCCACCAGCAGAUAAGUGUCACAGGGCAAGUUAAAAAGCAAGGAAGGUCACAAGGUUGACAGCUCUGGGCUUGGAACUGUGCUUGUGGGUCAUCUGCAAAGACAGACUCACUACGGGAUGAAGAGGGAGGGAGAGGCAGCACCUCGGGGACUGACAAGAAUGGAGGCCCAUUUCAAGUGUUUCUAUCAUUUCAACAUAAAUAAAGCCAAUCCAAUUC